CGUAAAGCGCGUGCAGGCGGCUUGGUAGGUUGGACGUGAAAGCUCCCGGCUCAACUGGGAGAGGCCGUUCAAUACCGCCAGGCUUGAGGGCGGAAGAGGGGAGUGGAAUUCCCGGUGUAGUGGUGGAAUGCGUAGAUAUCGGGAGGAACACCUGUGGCGAAGGCGGCUCCCUGGUCCGUUCCUGACGCUAAGACGCGAAAGCGUGGGGAGCGAACGGGAUUAGAUACCCCGGUAGUCCACGCUGUAAACGAUGGAUGCUAGGUGUGGGUGGUAUUGACCCCAUCCGUGCCGUAGCUAACGCGUUAAGCAUCCCGCCUGGGGACUACGGCCGCAAGGUUAAAACUCAAAGGAAUUGACGGGGGCCCGCACAAGCAGCGGAGCGUGUGGUUUAAUUCGAUGCUACGCGAAGAACCUUACCUGGGCUUGACAUGCACGUAGUAGUGAAGCGAAAGUGGAACGACCCUUCGGGGAGCGUGCACAGGUGCUGCAUGGCUGUCGUCAGCUCGUGUCGUGAGAUGUUGGGUUAAGUCCCGCAACGAGCGCAACCCUCGCUGUUAGUUACAUGUGUCUAACGGGACUGCCGGUAUCAAACCGGAGGAAGGUGGGGAUGACGUCAAGUCAGCAUGGCCUUUAUGUCCGGGGCUACACACACGCUACAAUGGUCGGUACAAUGGGCAGCCACACUGCGAAGUGGAGCUAAUCCUCAAAGCCGGCCUCAGUUCAGAUUGCAGUCUGCAACUCGACUGCAUGAAG
rnacentral:rRNA from 1 species